UCCCUUACCUGGCGGAGGACAGACAGUGGUCAGGAAGGGGGUUCUCCCUGGACGAGGCUAGUCCACCGCACUUCGGCUGCGCUGACCCCUGCGAUUUCCCCACACGCGGGGCCCUCGUCUGCGGU
rnacentral:snRNA from 10 species